GAUGAACGCUGGCGGCGUGCCUAAUACAUGCAAGUCGAGCGAACAGACGAGGAGCUUGCUCCUCUGACGUUAGCGGCGGACGGGUGAGUAACACGUGGAUAACCUACCUAUAAGACUGGGAUAACUUCGGGACACCGGAGCUAAUACCGGAUAAUAUAUUGAACCGCAUGGUUCAAUAGUGAAAGACGGUUUUGCUGUCACUUAUAGAUGGAUCCGCGCCGCAUUAGCUAGUUGGUAAGGUAACGGCUUACCAAGGCAACGAUGCGUAGCCGACCUGAGAGGGUGAUCGGCCACCCUGGAACUGAGACACGGUCCAGACUCCUACGGGAGGCAGCAGUAGGGAAUCUUCCGCAAUGGGCGAAAGCUUGACGGAGCAACGCCGCGUGAGAGAUGAAGGUCUUCGGAUCGUAAAACUCUGUUAUUAGGGAAGAACAAAUGUGUAAGUAACUAUGCACGUCUUGACGGUACCUAAUCAGAAAGCCACGGCUAACUACGUG
rnacentral:rRNA from 1 species